UCAGCUGUUGCUCUUGGCGUCACUGCGCUGCCAGCUGAUCGGGAGGAGAAGCCGGUAUGAGGGGAGUUGAAGCGGAGACUGAGGACGCAGCAAUACGUGGGCUAGAUUGUGAAAUUUAGGACGCAAGACUAAUGGUGUCGUUUUCAAGUUGAGUAAUUAUAUUGUUAAUGAUUUCUGUAACACUGUUGAGUUGUCUUGAGUAGGUUAGGAUUAGAUAUUUUAGCUGAGUCGCGCUUUAGCUCUUUGAUGUCAGGAGUGAUUUGAGGUUAAGGUGUGGCUUUCAGCUAAAGGACGAAUUACUUAAAUUGUAGCAGAUCUUAUAAUUAAUUCUUCGACAUUUAGCCUUUAUUUACAGUUAGAGUGAGACAUUAAAGUGGGCGAGAGAGACUGGAAAUGGGAUUGGGACAUGACCCAGGUCAGAAUCGAACUUGAGUUCCCAAUGAGCUUUUAAAUGUCGUAUGUGCGCUGCCUUGUGCGCCAGAACUGAAUCAUGAGGGUUUUAAUGGUUUUCGCGAGGAUUUGAUACGCGUGUCACCGGGGAGAUAUUUAAAUCCAGGAAGCGUUCGGUUACACAACGGAGGCCAAUCGUUCGAUGACCGUUGCAACAUUCGUUCUAACUUUUCGGAAGUGUGUGAACCCACUUUAGAACAAAUGGAAUCUGUUACGUUCCAUUGAAAGAGAUCGCGAGAGCGCUCGGUUCAGAGUUGAGCCUCACAGGGCGUCAGCCGUACGUUAGUAGACAGUCUAUAGGCAGAAUGAGGAAAAAAAAAAAAUAACCCAUUGCGAAAAUAAAGGAUGUUACGCCAGAUUUAUGUGAUGUCUGGGAUUCGAACCGCUUUCCAGCGUGACAUACGAAUCAAUCGACGAGAGAAAUCGAGAAUUCUACCAGUGAAGUAAGUUACGUUAGGUGUUGGACGUUCCUCAUUCAGAAGUUUUCGCUUAAAGGUGUUUGUCGAAAAACUCAGUAUUGCACAGAUAUCGAUUUGACGCUAUUUGUUAAAUUCGUCAGACUGAAGCGCUGAGAAUUAACACUACUGUAGCCUAUUAACACGGACAACUGAUAUAACAGUGGGCGUUACACUCGUUACAUUAAACUCAUAUCGCCUGACGUAUUUCCUUCGUGAUUUUUCUUUAGGCUACUUUGCUUGUUUUUAUUUGUAUUAUAUUUAUGCUAAUUUUCAGCGUUAUUAAAAGAGGGCAAGGAUAAUUAAAGGGAUAAUUAACCUCAAAUUAAUAUUUAGUCAUCAUUUACUCACCUUCAUGAUGUUUUAAACCUUUCAUUGAAUAUAGAAAGAAUGCGAAGUGAAUGGUGACUGACCCUCAUAUUCAGCCUCACAUUUUCUCUAUUUAUUUAUUUUUUUAUACAGAGGAUAGAAAGUCAAACAGGUUUGUAAAAAUAUGGGUGUUAUUAAAGGACAGAUUUUUCACUUUUUGAGUGAACUGUCACUUUAAGAUAAACCCUAAAACACGGAGUUUUUAGUCUACGUCUGUUUAAAAGAUGAAUAGCAGGGGCAACAGGACAUUCUGCUGUAGCCUGCGAGAGAAGGCGAAGAUCAAAAUAUUAGUUUUGGUAGCUGGAUAGUAGUGUAUAAAACAUGGUUUUGGCCAUGACACAACGCUUAUACAUCGUCUCUGAUUCCUGUGAGGCGAGAGCAUGGCAAAUUCCUCAAGACCCCACCCUGUACGCCUAACAUCUGGAGUGGAGACCUCCGUUUCAACAGUACGUCGUUAUGGAUUUCUUCUUACAUCUGAAUGACGUCCGACUGCUGAAGAUGAAGCUCGGCUGUGACAGUGAUUUGCCUGUUUGGCAGGUGGCUGUAGUUGUCUUGAGUGUGGGAGGGGAGGAUCUCAGAAGAAGGUCUGCUGUUGUCUCAAGGACAGCGGAGCUUCCCGUCUGUGCAGCCCCACAGUCCUGUGGGACCAAAUGCUGGACGCACAGGCGGGUUUGUGCUACAAGGUUUCAGGAAGUGAGCCUGCAGAGCUUCUGUCCACAUUUACAUCUCCAGUAACGUUACGCAGUUAGAUUCCUAGCAAUACCUUUUCGCUGCCGUAGCGAGGCGAUGAUUCGGCACUGUCAGAGACAGACUUCUAGAGUGAGUUUGCUUCUGCUGUCUACCCUGAGGGACCUGCAUAAUCUCCCUUUGAUUAAAUGGGCUGCAGGCUUUGUGCUCCUCACCGCCAUGUAAGUGACCCAGUUUGGGGUUUUGUGCUAUUGUUCUUCAUUGAAUUUCUGUCCUCGACAUACAAGGCGGCACACACAUACGAUGCCCCAAACUCUAAAUAGCGAGCUCAUUCAUUCUAUACAGAGAAAAACGGGUUUGUUUAAAACCUGUUGACUUCACUUGUGGACUAUUUCUCUGUCUCUUUCUCUCUUUUAAGGCAGCCAAGCUAGUUCACCUCAGCAGUACAGAGUGUGAGCUGGCCCAGCUCUGUGGAAGGGUGGAGUCAGUCCAGCACGGCGUAUCUCAGAAAGCAUGGAGGGCCUCUGCAGACAGAAUGGAAUUUAUACCAUAUGUACCAGGCAUCCCAAGAAUGCAUGGCACAGAGACUUGACCAACGGAAAGAACCGCAGAAAGUGCAAUGGAAAGGAUCCUGCCACGCCCUAUUCCCACGUUUUCUUCGGAAUAUCAGGGACAGACUCUGGGAAGCCCACUGGCUGACCUGCAGCAGUUCUUCACUGGCAAGCUUUAUGUCCUUGUGUACCAGCUAAAGCUGCCAGCUGAAGAACUGUUGUGGUUGGCUCUUUCCUGGCACGUCAGCACAGAGAUGGUGAUGCAGAAGUAACAGCAUCAUUCCAGACAGUCGAUGAGGCCGUCUCAGCCAAUCCUGGAUCAGACGGAUCCCAUUUUUUUCUCUCCCUCCAGCAGCCAGCUCACGUGACCUGCCUGAGCUUGGCUGUUCGUUAUUCUCAGGCAUAAACAAAGGCUACCAUACGGGGUCCAUGCUGACUCAGCCACAUUCCUGGCCCGGUGAGGGUCCCUUGCCCUUAUUUGGGUGUGGAGCAGGACAGGAGUGGCAUUCUGUGCUCUCAACCAAGCUGACAGAGGUGGCCAUCUUGCUCUUCUGAUGUAGCAAAUGGUGGAUCUGAUGUUUAGUGGGCGGAAACAUCAAGUACUACUGAAAGUAGUGUUCUUAUAGAUGUUUCCAUGCAUUCUGGAGACAUGCCCAGGCAUUGACGUGUUUGUGUGUUGAAAGUUGCAGAGAUCCUCCAGGGAACAAAUGAUGAAAGACUGCAGAGCGUAUGUAACUUCCUCUUUCCCUUUCAAGGCCAUUCUAUGGCGUAAAUAUGAUUUUUUUUUAUUUUUUUUUGUGUGUGUUUGUUUGUUUAUGUGCUUGUGUAUGUACGCAUCUAACCUUUGUCACACACACAGAUCUGCCUAUAUACACAUCCUCAUCACGUCAACUGACCUUACACAAGCCGUAAAUUCCUCAAGGCCGACUUCUUCAGCACAGAAAACAGGAUAUGAAAAUGCAUCCCUCUAAAUCCUCCCAGCCAGAUGAAAACUGAGAAUAUUCUAGGUAUUUAGCAGACCCAGAUGCCGCGUGCUGGAAAUGUGCUCUCGGUUCCUCUCCCUCCAAACGUCUUCAAGAUCAUGCCACUCUCUCACCAAGUUCUCAUACGUCACACAGUUUUGCACAUGUAACUGUACCUUCUCUCAAGGGCUUCUUCAGGUCAUGGGCGACGAUCGCCUUCGUGAUCCGCUCUAGUCUAAUGUCAAUCUGUCCACAAGUGCAUUAAAAGAUUGUUGAGGGUCGUCGUCUCAGCUGCUCUUAAAGAAACGGCACACAUAAGAAGCUCGGCCUGUCUGUGUUGCAGGUGUACUUAGGCCGUGGAUAGUACAGUGUGCUACUGUCAGAACCUCCUGCUUUAACCCUCUUUAAAGUCAGACGGUAAGGGUUAACAGCUACAUUUAGAUUAGAUUACUAUGAAGGUCCUAAUGAACAUACUUUCAGUAUGGACAAAGUGUGACUGAAUGAUGUGAUUCUCAAAUAAAGAAGUAAAAUGGC